GAUGAAGAACGCAGCGAAAUGCGAUACGUAAUGUGAAUUGCAGAAUUCAGUGAAUCAUCGAGUCUUUGAACGCACAUUGCGCCCGCCAGUAUUCUGGCGGGCAUGCCUGUUCGAGCGUCAUUACAACCCUCAGGCCCCCGGGCCUGGCGUUGGGGAUCGGCGGAAGCCCCCUGCGGGCACAACGCCGUCCCCCAAAUACAGUGGCGGUCCCGCCGCAGCUUCCAUUGCGUAGUAGCUAACACCUCGCAACUGGAGAGCGGCGCGGCCACGCCGUAAAACACCCAACUUCUGAAUGUUGACCUCGAAUCAGGUAGGAAUACCCGCUGAACUUAAGCAUAUCAAUAAGCGGAGGA
rnacentral:misc_RNA from 1 species